GACGAACGCUGGCGGCGUGCCUAAUACAUGCAAGUAGAACGCUGAAGGAGGAGCUUGCUUUUCCGGAUGAGUUGCGAACGGGUGAGUAACGCGUAGGUAACCUGCCUGGUAGCGGGGGAUAACUAUUGGAAACGAUAGCUAAUACCGCAUAAGAGUAGAUGUUGCAUGACAUUUGCUUAAAAGGUGCAAUUGCAUCACUACCAGAUGGACCUGCGUUGUAUUAGCUAGUUGGUGAGGUAACGGCUCACCAAGGCGACGGUACAUAGCCGACCUGAGAGGGUGAUCGGCCACACUGGGACUGAGACACAGCCCAGACUCCUACGGGAGGCAGCAGUAGGGAAUCUUCGGCAAUGGACGGAAGUCUGACCGAGCAACGCCGCGUGAGUGAAGAAGGUUUUCGGAUCGUAAAGCUCUGUUGUAAGGGAAGAACGGGUGUGAGGGUGGAAAGUUCACACUGUGACGGUAUCUUACCAGAAAGGGACGGCUAACUACGUG
rnacentral:rRNA from 1 species